GAUGAACGCUGGCGGCGUGCCUAAUACAUGCAAGUCGAGCGAACAGAUGAGGAGCUUGCUCCUCUGACGUUAGCGGCGGACGGGUGAGUAACACGUGGAUACCCUAUCUAUAAGACUGGGAUAAAUUCGAGAAACCGGAGAUAAUACCGUAUAAUAUAUUGAUCCGUAUGGUUCACUAAUAAAAGACGGUUUUACUAUCACUUAUUGGUGGAUCCGCGCAGCAUUAGCUAGUUGGUAAGGUUACGGGUUAACAAAGCCACGAUGCGUAGACGGACUGAGAAGGUGGAUGGCCCACCCUGGAACUGGGACACGGUCCAGACUCUUACGGGGGGCAGCAGAAGGGAAUUUUCCGAAAUGGGCGAAAGCCGGACGGAGCAACGCCGGGUGAGGGAUGAAGGUCUUCGGAUCGUAAAACUCUGUUAUUAGGGAAGAACAAAUGUGUAAGUAACUAUGCACGUCUUGACGGUACCUAAUCAGAAAGCCACGGCUAACUACGUG
rnacentral:rRNA from 1 species